rnacentral:rRNA from 1 species
UUAAGUUAUUAAGGGCGCACGGUGGAUGCCUUGGCACUAGAAGCCGAAGAAGGACGUUACUAACGACGAUAUGCUUUGGGUAGCUGUAAGUAAGCGUUGAUCCAGAGAUUUCCGAAUGGGGGAACCCAACAUGAGUUAUGUCAUGUUAUCGACAUGUGAAUUCAUAGCAUGUCAGAAGGCAGACCCGGAGAACUGAAACAUCUUAGUACCCGGAGGAAGAGAAAGAAAAAUCGAUUCCCUGAGUAGCGGCGAGCGAAACGGGAAGAGCCCAAACCAACAAGCUUGCUUGUUGGGGUUGUAGGACACUCUAUACGGAGUUACAAAAGAACAUGUUAGACGAAUCAUCUGGAAAGAUGAAUCAAAGAAGGUAAUAAUCCUGUAGUCGAAAACAUAUUCUCUCUUGAGUGGAUCCUGAGUACGACGGAGCACGUGAAAUUCCGUCGGAAUCUAGGAGGACCAUCUCCUAAGGCUAAAUACUCUCUAGUGACCGAUAGUGAACCAGUACCGUGAGGGAAAGGUGAAAAGUACCCCGGAAGGGGAGUGAAAGAGAACUUGAAACCGUGUGCUUACAAGUAGUCAGAGCCCGUUUAUGGGUGAUGGCGUGCCUUUUGUAGAAUGAACCGGCGAGUUACGAUCUGAUGCAAGGUUAAGCAGCGAAUGUGGAGCCGUAGCGAAAGCGAGUCUGAAUAGGGCGUUGAGUAUUUGGUCGUAGACCCGAAACCAGGUGAUCUACCCUUGGUCAGGUUGAAGUUCAGGUAACACUGAAUGGAGGACCGAACCGACUUACGUUGAAAAGUGAGCGGAUGAACUGAGGGUAGCGGAGAAAUUCCAAUCGAACUUGGAGAUAGCUGGUUCUCUCCGAAAUAGCUUUAGGGCUAGCCUCAAGUGAUGAUUAUUGGAGGUAGAGCACUGUUUGGACGAGGGGCCCCUCUCGGGUUACCGAAUUCAGACAAACUCCGAAUGCCAAUCAAUUUAACUUGGGAGUCAGAACAUGGGUGAUAAGGUCCGUGUUCGAAAGGGAAACAGCCCAGACCACCAGCUAAGGUCCCAAAAUAUAUGUUAAGUGGAAAAGGAUGUGGCGUUGCCCAGACAACUAGGAUGUUGGCUUAGAAGCAGCCAUCAUUUAAAGAGUGCGUAAUAGCUCACUAGUCGAGUGACACUGCGCCGAAAAUGUACCGGGGCUAAACAUAUUACCGAAGCUGUGGAUUGUCCUUCGGACAAUGGUAGGAGAGCGUUCUAAGGGCGUUGAAGCAUGAUCGCAAGGACAUGUGGAGCGCUUAGAAGUGAGAAUGCCGGUGUGAGUAGCGAAAGACGGGUGAGAAUCCCGUCCACCGAUUGACUAAGGUUUCCAGAGGAAGGCUCGUCCGCUCUGGGUUAGUCGGGUCCUAAGCUGAGGCCGACAGGCGUAGGCGAUGGAUAACAGGUUGAUAUUCCUGUACCACCUAGUAUCGUUUUAAUCGAUGGGGGGACGCAGUAGGAUAGGCGAAGCGUGCUGUUGGAGUGCACGUCCAAGCAGUAAGGCUGAGUGUUAGGCAAAUCCGGCACUCGUUAGGCUGAGCUGUGAUGGGGAGAGGAAAUUGUUUCCUCGAGUCGUUGAUUUCACACUGCCGAGAAAAGCCUCUAGAUAGAUAACAGGUGCCCGUACCGCAAACCGACACAGGUAGUCAAGAUGAGAAUUCUAAGGUGAGCGAGCGAACUCUCGUUAAGGAACUCGGCAAAAUGACCCCGUAACUUCGGGAGAAGGGGUGCUCUUUAGGGUUCACGCCCAGAAGAGCCGCAGUGAAUAGGCCCAAGCGACUGUUUAUCAAAAACACAGGUCUCUGCUAAACCGUAAGGUGAUGUAUAGGGGCUGACGCCUGCCCGGUGCUGGAAGGUUAAGAGGAGUGGUUAGCUUUUGCGAAGCCACGAAUCGAAGCCCCAGUAAACGGCGGCCGUAACUAUAACGGUCCUAAGGUAGCGAAAUUCCUUGUCGGGUAAGUUCCGACCCGCACGAAAGGCGUAACGAUUUGGGCACUGUCUCAACGAGAGACUCGGUGAAAUCAUAGUACCUGUGAAGAUGCAGGUUACCCGCGACAGGACGGAAAGACCCCGUGGAGCUUUACUGUAGCCUGAUAUUGAAAUUCGGCACAGCUUGUACAGGAUAGGUAGGAGCCAUUGAAACGUGAGCGCUAGCUUACGUGGAGGCGUUGGUGGGAUACUACCCUAGCUGUGUUGGCUUUCUAACCCGCACCACUUAUCGUGGUGGGAGACAGUGUCAGGCGGGCAGUUUGACUGGGGCGGUCGCCUCCUAAAAGGUAACGGAGGCGCUCAAAGGUUCCCUCAGAAUGGUUGGAAAUCAUUCACAGAGUGUAAAGGCAUAAGGGAGCUUGACUGCGAGACCUACAAGUCGAGCAGGGUCGAAAGACGGACUUAGUGAUCCGGUGGUUCCGCAUGGAAGGGCCAUCGCUCAACGGAUAAAAGCUACCCCGGGGAUAACAGGCUUAUCUCCCCCAAGAGUUCACAUCGACGGGGAGGUUUGGCACCUCGAUGUCGGCUCAUCGCAUCCUGGGGCUGUAGUCGGUCCCAAGGGUUGGGCUGUUCGCCCAUUAAAGCGGUACGCGAGCUGGGUUCAGAACGUCGUGAGACAGUUCGGUCCCUAUCCGUCGUGGGCGUAGGAAAUUUGAGAGGAGCUGUCCUUAGUACGAGAGGACCGGGAUGGACAUACCUCUGGUGUACCAGUUGUCGUGCCAACGGCAUAGCUGGGUAGCUAUGUAUGGACGGGAUAAGUGCUGAAAGCAUCUAAGCAUGAAGCCCCCCUCAAGAUGAGAUUUCCCAACUUCGGUUAUAAGAUCCCUCGAAGAUGACGAGGUUAAUAGGUUCGAGGUGGAAGCGUGGUGACACGUGGAGCUGACGAAUACUAAUCGAUCGAAGACUUAAUC